GGGGCUGCACUGGUUUCGACGUGGGUUCGGACGCGCAGCAGGGCAUGUCGAGGUUCUGUCACCUCGUUAAACCGCAGAAAAAAAACUAACUGCAAACGACGAACGUUUCGCACUCGCCGCUUAAUUGCGCGUGAGCCUCGCAACAGCAAGCCAAUAGGCUGGGCAAGGGUUGGUGGGCCGAAAGGCACAUCAGUCCAGGCUGCGGGGUAACUUUAUUUGGCUGGAUGGGUGUCGGGCAACUUGUCACCCAUCGAGAUUUAAGGUUGCUGGCGUUUUGCAAAGCGUGCCACUGCGCGUUGCAGGAAGCGAGAUCCAAAUCAGACGGCUACACAUGUAGAACUGCUCGAAAAAGGCUUGCGGACGGGGGUUCGAAUCCCCCCAGCUCCACCA
rnacentral:tmRNA from 1 species